rnacentral:rRNA from 1 species
UACGUAGGGUGCGAGCGUUAUUCGGAAUUACUGGGCGUAAAGCGUGCGCAGGCGGUGAUGUAAGACAGUUGUGAAAUCCCCGGGCUCAACCUGGGAACUGCAUCUGUGACUGCAUCGCUGGAGUGCGGCAGAGGGGGAUGGAAUUCCGCGUGUAGCAGUGAAAUGCGUAGAUAUGCGGAGGAACACCGAUGGCGAAGGCAAUCCCCUGGGCCUGCACUGACGCUCAUGCACGAAAGCGUGGGGAGCAAACAGG